AGCAGUAGCCGCGGUAAUACGUAGGUGGCAAGCGUUGUCCGGAAUUAUUGGGCGUAAAGGGCUCGCAGGCGGUUUUUUAAGUCUGAUGUGAAAGCCCACGGCUCAACCGUGGAGGGUCAUUGGAAACUGGAAAACUUGAGUGCAGAAGAGGAAAGUGGAAUUCCAUGUGUAGCGGUGAAAUGCGCAGAGAUAUGGAGGAACACCAGUGGCGAAGGCGACUUUCUGGUCAGUAACUGACGCUGAUGUGCGAAAGCGUGGGGAUCAAACAGGAUUAGAUACCCCGGUAGUCCCUGUCUCUUAUAC
rnacentral:rRNA from 1 species